rnacentral:rRNA from 1 species
GCGCAGCUAACGCGAUAAGUAGACCGCCUGGGGAGUACGGCCGCAAGGUUAAAACUCAAAUGAAUUGACGGGGGCCCGCACAAGCGGUGGAGCAUGUGGUUUAAUUCGAUGCAACGCGAAGAACCUUACCAGGUCUUGACAUCCUCGGAACUUGGCAGAGAUGCCUUGGUGCCUUCGGGAGCCGAGUGACAGGUGCUGCAUGGCCGUCGUCAGCUCGUGUCGUGAGAUGUUGGGUUAAGUCCCGUAACGAGCGCAACCCUUGUCCUUAGUUGCCAGCACGUCAUGGUGGGAACUCUAGGGAGACUGCCGGUGACAAACCGGAGGAAGGUGGGGACGACGUCAGGUCAUCAUGGCCCUUACGACCUGGGCUACACACGUGCUACAAUGGCUGGUACAGAGGGUUGCGAAGUCGCGAGGCGAAGCUAAUCCCUUAAAGCCAGUCGUAGUCCGGAUCGGAGUCUGCAACUCGACUCCGUGAAGUCGGAAUCGCUAGUAAUCGCGGAUCAGAAUGCCGCGGUGAAUACGUUCCCGGGCCUUGUACACACCGCCCGUCACACCAUGGGAGUGGAUUGCACCAGAAGUGGCUAGUCUAACUACGGA